UACGUAGGGUGCAAGCGUUGUCCGGAAUUAUUGGGCGUAAAGAGCUCGUAGGCGGUGUGUCGCGUCGGCCGUGAAAACCUGCAGCUUAACUGUGGGCUUGCGGUCGAUACGGGCAUCACUGGAGUUCGGCAGGGGAGACUGGAAUUCCUGGUGUAGCGGUGAAAUGCGCAGAUAUCAGGAGGAACACCGGUGGCGAAGGCGGGUCUCUGGGCCGAUGACUGACGCUGAGGAGCGAAAGCGUGGGGAGCGAACAGG
rnacentral:rRNA from 1 species